rnacentral:rRNA from 1 species
AAAUUUGGCGGUAUUUUAGUCUAUUUGAUGGAACCUGUUCUAUAAUUGAUAAUCCACGAUUUGCGUUACUUAUUUUUAGUUUACAUAUCGUCGUAGUUGAAUGUUUUAAAAGAAAAAUAAUAUUCAUAAUUUUUUAUAAUAAAAAAAAUCAGAUCAAGGUGUAGCGUAUAAAUAAGAAGAAAUGGGUUACAAUAAAUAAAUUUAUAUGGUUAAUAAUUUUAAAAAAUUAUUAUAAAGUGGAUUUGAAAGUAAUAUAAUUUAAAUUAAUUAUAUGAUUUUAGCUCUAAAAUAUGUACAUAUCGCCCGUCACUCUCAUUUAAAGUGAGAUAAGUCGUAACAAAGUAGAUGUACUGGAAAGUGUAUCUAGUGGGCAAAUUAAAGCUCUAGAGCGUUUUAUUUACAUUAAAAAGGUAAUUGUAAUUCAAUUUAAUUUGAAUUUAAUUAAUUAAAUUUUUAAUUUUAAAAUAAAUAGGUUUAAGUUUUAUUAUUUAUUUAGAAAAAAUUUUUAUUUUUAUAGUUUAUUAGUAAAGUGAUUGAAUUUUUAAAUAUAUUAAAUUUUAAAUUUUAAAAAGAAAAAUUUAUUUUUUGUACCUUGUGUAUCAGGGUUUAUUAAAAAUUAAAUUAAAAUUAAUUUUUCUCGAAUUAAAAAGAGUUAAUAAUUUAUAUAUUUUAUUGUAAAAAAAAUAUUUAUAAUAAAUUAUUAGUAAUGAAACGUUAGUCGAUUUUUAAUAUAUCUAGUUUUUUUAGAAAUAAAUUUAAUUUAUUUUUCAAUAUAAAUUAUUUUAAAUUUUAAAUUUAAUUUUAUUGAAAUUAAAUAUUUUAGGGGAUAAGCUUUAAAAUAAAUUAAUAUAAAUUUAUAUAAAAUAAAUAUAUGUAGAAUUAAAAAUUUUAAUCAAUUUUAGUAUGUUAUAAUUAAUUUUUAAAUUAAUAAUAUUUAUAUAAAUUUUAUUUUAUUUAUAAAAAUAUAGUAUUUAAUUUUUAAAUAUUAGAAAUUAUGAUAAAAUUAGUAUAAUUUAUUGUAAAAUUAAAUAUAGUUUUAAAUAUAAAUUAAGGAACUCGGCAAAAUUAGUUUUCGCCUGUUUAUUAAAAACAUGUCCUUUUGAUAAUAAUUUAAGGUCUAACCUGCCCACUGAAAAUUUAAAUGGCCGCAGUAUUUUGACUGUGCAAAGGUAGCAUAAUCAUUAGUUUCUUAAUUAGAAGCUUGUAUGAAUGGUUGAACGAGAAACUUACUGUCUCAAUUUAUAAAUUAAAAUUUUAUUUUUAAGUUAAAAAGCUUAAAUGAUUUUAAAAGACGAGAAGACCCUAUAGAGUUUUAUAGUUUUAAUAAUUUUUAUUUUAGAAUUAUAAUAUAUUAUUAAAAUUAUUUUGUUGGGGUGACAUAUAAAUUUAAUAAACUUUAUAUUAUUAAUAACAUAAAUUUAUGAUUAUUUGAUCCAUAAAUAAUGAUUAAAAGAAAAAAUUACCUUAGGGAUAACAGCGUUAUUUUUUUUUAGAGUUCAAAUCGAAAAAAAAGUUUGCGACCUCGAUGUUGGAUUAAAGUUAAUUUAUGGUGUAGAAGCUAUAAAAUUAGGUCUGUUCGACCUUUAAAACUUUACAUGAUCUGAGUUCAAACCGGAGA